UGAAGAAGAUGGUCUGCCUACUCAUGCAGUCGAGCGGUAGAGAGAAGCUUGCUUCUCUUGAGAGCGCCGUACGGUUGAGUAAUACCUAGGAAUCUGCCUGAUACUGGGGGAUAACGUUCGGAAACGGACGCUAAUACCGCAUACGUCCUACGGGAGAAAGCAGGGGACCUUCGGGCCUUGCGCUAUCACAUGAACCUAGGUCGGAUUAUCUACUUGGUGAGGUAAUGGCUCACCAAUGCUACCAUCCGUAUCUGGUCUGAGAGGAUGAUCAGUCACACUGGAACUGAUACACGGUCCACACUCCUACCGUAGGCAGCAUUGGGGAAUAUUGGACAAUGGGCGAAAGCCUGAUCCAGCCAUGCCGCGUGUGUGAAAAAGGUCUUCUGAUUGUAAAGCACUUUAAGUUGUGAGGAAAGGCAAUUACCUAAUACGUGAGUGUCUUGACGUUACCGACAGAAUAAGCACCGGCUAACUCUGUGCCAACAGCCGCGGUAAUACAGAGGGUGCAAGCGUUAAUCGGAAUUACUGAACGUAAAGCGCGCGUACGUGGUUUGUUAAGUUGAAUGUGAAAUCAUCGGGCUCAACCUGUUGAACUGCAUCCUCAACUGGCAAGCUAGAGUAUGGGUAUAGGGGAGUGGAAUUUCCUGUGUAACGGUGAAAUGCGUAUAUAUAUGAAUGAACACCAGUGGCGAAGCGACUACCUGCACUGAUACUGACACUGAUGUGCGAAAGCGUGGGGAGCAAACAGGAUUAUAUACCCUGGUAGUCCACGCCGUACACGAUGUCAACUAGCCGUUGGGAGUCUUGAACUCUUAGUGGCGCAGCUAACGCAUUACUUGACCGCCUGGUGUAGUACGGCCGCAAGGUUAAACUCAGAUGAAUUGACGGGGGCCCGCACAAGCGGCGGAGCAUGUGUUUUCAUUCGAAGCAACGCAUAAAAGCUUACCACGUCUUGACAUCCGAUGCACUUGCUACAGAUAGAUCGUGCUUCUGCAGCAUUGAGACAGUGACUGCAUGGCUGUCAGUCAGCUCGUGCUUUCGAGCAUGAUGGAAUAGGUCCAGUAAUCGAGCGCACCCUGUCUAGUUACAAGGCACGUAUUGAUGUACCUCUAAUGAACUGACUGUGCCAAGCUGAGCAGGUGGGAUUGAGUUCAGUCAUCAUGCCUAGCUAGGCUCACUAUCUACACUGGAUCGGUAACCAGGGUUGCCAAGCCGCGAGGUGGAGCUAAUCCCAUAAAACCGAUCGUAGUCCGGAUCGCAGUCUGCAACUCGACUGCGUGAAGUCGGAAUCGCUAGUAAUCGUGAAUCAGAAUGUCACGGUGAAUACGUUCCCGGGCCUUGUACACACCGCCCGUCACACCAUGGGAGUGGGUUGCACCAGAAGUAGUAAGUCUAACCCUCGGCUCGACUGUCUAUCUGUUGGUCCGCCCUAUUGCU
rnacentral:rRNA from 1 species